rnacentral:rRNA from 1 species
GACAGAGGGUGCAAACGUUGUUCGGAAUUACUGGGCGUAAAGCGCGUGUAGGCUGUUCGACAAGUCGGAUGUGAAAGCCCUGGGCUCAACUCAGGAAGUGCAUUCGAAACUGUCGAGCUGGAGUCCUGGAGAGGAAGGCGGAAUUCUCGGUGUAGAGGUGAAAUUCGUAGAUAUCGAGAGGAACACCGGUGGCGAAGGCGGCCUUCUGGACAGUGACUGACGCUGAGACGCGAAAGCGUGGGGAGCAAACAGG